AAUAUUGGACAAUUGGCGAAAGCCUGAUCCCGCCAUGCCGCGUGUUUGAAGAAGCCCUUCGGGUUGUAAAGCUCUUUCGGACGGAAAGAAAUCGCGCUGGCUAAUACUCUGCGCGGAUGUCGUUACCGUCAUAAGAAUCACCGGCUACCUACGUUCCUGAAGCCGCGGUAAUACGUAAGGUGCGAGCGUUAAUCGGAAUUACUGGGCGUAAAGCGUGCGCAGGAGGUUGAUUAAGCCAGGCGUGAAAUCCCCGGGCUUAACCUGGGAACUGCGCUUGUGACUGGUCAGCUAGAGUACGGCAGAGGGGGGUGGAAUUCCACGUGUAGCAGUGAAAUGCGUAGAGAUGUGGAGGAACACCGAUGGCGAAGGCAGCCCCCUGGCCGAUACUGACGCUCAUGCACGAAAGCGUGGGUAGCAAACAGG
rnacentral:rRNA from 1 species